rnacentral:rRNA from 1 species
GUGGGGAAUCUUCCACAAUGGACGAAAGUCUGAUGGAGCAACGCCGCGUGAGUGAAGAAGGGUUUCGGCUCGUAAAGCUCUGUUGUCGGGGACGAAUGUGCAGUAUUUGAAUAAAGUAGUGCAAUGACGGUACCUGACGAGGAAGCCACGGCUAACUACGUGCCAGCAGCCGCGGUAAUACGUAGGUGGCAAGCGUUGUCCGGAAUUAUUGGGCGUAAAGGGAGCGCAGGCGGGAAGGUAAGUCGGUCUUAAAAGUGCGGGGCUCAACCCCGUGAUGGGAUCGAAACUAUCUUUCUUGAGUGCAGGAGAGGAAAGUGGAAUUCCUAGUGUAGCGGUGAAAUGCGUAGAUAUUAGGAGGAACACCAGUGGCGAAGGCGACUUUCUGGACUGUAACUGACGCUGAGGCUCGAAAGCCAGGGGAGCGAACGGGAUUAGAAACCCGUGUAGUCC